rnacentral:rRNA from 1 species
AACGAACGCUGGCGGCAUGCCUAACACAUGCAAGUCGAACGAGACCUUCGGGUCUAGUGGCGCACGGGUGCGUAACGCGGGGGAACCUGCCCUUAGGUUCGGAAUAACUCCCCGAAAGGGGUGCUAAUACCGGAUAAUGUCUUAGGACCAAAGAUUUUUCGCCUUUGGAUGGGCCCGCGUUGGAUUAGCUAGUUGGUAGGGUAAAAGCCUACCAAGGCGACGAUCCAUAGCUGGUCUGAGAGGAUGCUCAGCCACACUGGGCCUGAGCCACGGCCCAGACUCCUACGGGAGGCAGCAGUGGGGAAUAUUGGACAAUGGGCGAAAGCCUGAUCCAGCAAUGCCGCGUGAGUGAUGAAGGCCUUAGGGUUGUAAAGCUCUUUUACCCGGGAUGAUAAUGACGGUACCGGGAGAAUAAGCUCCGGCUAACUCCGUG